GGAGAGGGUCUGAAGCAUUUGGAACUUUUCUUUUGCUUGAAAAGAACACAUCAAAUGAGUGCCUUAAGCGUUGAUGUUGCUGCUUCUCUUGCCUUGCUGGUUGCUGGUUGUCUGUGUUGUUAACAACCAAUGUCCCUUCUUUCUCUCCUGAGACCACAAACAGCGAAACAAGAAUCAGAAAUAUUAGCUUCUGCGGCAUACCAA
rnacentral:misc_RNA from 1 species